AGUGGAGACUUUUUAGAACACGGAAUGACUCCAACAAGGGUCAGACUCUAACAACCAAACAACAACAAUCAACAACUACUUCACAGUUCUCAGAGAUCAGCCCUGCCACGGGAAACGCACAGUAAAGCAAGAGCAGGGUUGACAUUCUCUGUGAAAUGGCAUCAGGCAUGACUCUGGAGCAAUCUUACAGAUGGAUAGCCUUGAUCUCCUUCCACCAGUUGGCUAAAGGAUUGAAUUUUUUACUAUCUGUAGGAGAUAGUCUAUGAUCUUGUUCCAAAUAUCUGAAUAAACUUUAAGAACCACAGUGCAAUCACUUGGACACGAUCCCAGAUCCAUCCGUCCAUUCAUCCAUCCACCCAUCCAUCCAUCAUUCACGAUUGACUCAAUAUCCUGCUGGGAGCUGGGAAAAAAGAGACAUGAAGUAUCCCUGCCUCUGAGCAGCUUUCAGUGCAGAUGGUAUGCCAGGGACAAUAUACAAGACAGAAUAGAGUUCAUUCAAGUAUUCUAUGUUUUGUUAUUUAGUUUUCAAAUAUGAACCCUGGAUGGAACCAGGCUUUGUUCCCCCAAGUUAUCAGCUAAAGAGAAAGAGCUCAGCCAAGUGACAAGGUGUUGCCGCAGUGAUAACUCAAUUUUGUGGUUUUCAGAAAUGCAGAAGAAAGAAGGUUGGAAAGAAUGGGCUGGCACUCCCCGAAGAGUGGGGCUCAAAGUUCUGGUCUCAGCAGAUCUUUGAGGGAGACGUAGGGUCUAGGCCGGCAAAACCAGAGAGAAGGAUAGGCUUUUAGAUGCUCAUCCCACCCAAAACCAUGAAAUAAUCUCCCCUGUCUCCUGAUUAGUAUUUGUCAGCCUCAUUUACCCUUAAGAUUUGUGCAAAUGAAAAACGUUAAAUGCAGUUCCUGGAUCAGUAAUUAAACAUAAUUAUUUCAGUGGAAGAGAUUUUUGUUUUCAUAAUCUCCUCUUUGUCUGCAUAGAGCCAGCUCUUGGUUACAUCUGCCACUGAUAGCCUUUGCUCUGUUUACUUUAAAGAAUAAGCCACUGUUUGAUUUGGUUUCUUGUUUUCAAUAUGUAAACCCUGGUCUCUUGAUUCCCCAUUCCAGGAAGGAAAAAAUAAAAGAACAAGGCUCUUUAAAUAUCAGAGCCAUGAUGACUUAACAGAUACACGCAGGCUCAAUAUUUUAUGUAACAGCCACUUAGGAAAAUGCGUAAGAAUUUCCCAGCUGGCAGCCCUGAUUUGGCAGGUGUACCUCAAUUGAACCAAUCGCUUUUCAUCUGGCUGUCAAUUUGUUUGGUUUUUCUGGCUACAUUGCACCAGAGUCUGUGUGUAUUCCAAAAGGUCGUUCACCUAUUCCACGGUUCAAAGGGAUCAUUCUGUUCACUUAAAGGGUCACUGUAAUCAUAUAUUGAAACAUAGCUAAGUACGAUGAGCUAGAAUUUUAGGAGGGGUAAAACUAAUAGGAAAAUCCAGGAGUAUAAACCACAAAACACACAUAAAAAAAGAGAUAAAAACAGAAAACAUAAUUCCUCAAUUAAAAAAAAAAAGGAACCAAAAAGAAAAAAAAUCUAUAACAAACCACACUGUAGGAGUCUCACUAUACACUAAAAUUAACAAUCACAGCUGGGGUAAAUACUUUAUUUAUUUUAUUCAUAUUCUGCACUGGCAGCAUAUUCUAGUUGCCUGUUUGAUUUCAUUAAUCCAAAGCAAAAGAGAAGUAGAGAUUUAUGUAAAUUUCAUGUUAUGCUCAGAUUGUAAGGGAGCCACUAAUUGAACUUCAGGUCUUCCUUAUUGGAAGGAAGACCUGAAGAUGAAUGGCUUCAUGAAAUAAUCGUAAAUGAAUAAUUCCCCCACAUCCGUAAGUCAGCCUACUUCUGUAAACAGAAAAACAAGGUAGUAGUCCCAUAGUCUAUUUUUUAAUCCAGAAAAAGUCAUUCUUGCAGCAAGAAUAAGGGAAACUAUGUCCCAAAAAUACCAGGUUUUCCAGAUAUAGGGAUCAUGUUUGACCAAAACAACCCUUGGCCUAAAAAUACUGCUAUAUUCAAAUAAGAGGAGUUGCUGUUAUUUAAUUUUACUAUACUAUUUAUACUUACAUGGGAUUUUUAUAAUGAUACUACUGUGGUUUUCACAGAUGUUUGGCUUGUAAAAAUGCUAAAGAUUACAAUCUUUAGGUCACCAACUACCUGUAUUUAUGGAGGCUACAGGACAGAGCACAGAACAGCCAGGAAGCCAAAACGCGCUCGAAUUACCUCCAGCACUUACUGCCGCGGGACUCAAACCCGAGUCCUUUCUGGGACUGCUUUUCCUUGAACAUAAAAAUGGGGGUGAUAUCACCUUCCACAGGGAUCUCCUAACUGUACAGAGGGCUUAGCACACUGUCUGGCACUCAGAGGCCUUGCUGGAUCGUGAUCCGCCCCCUCCAGUCAGCGACUGAGACCCCUCACUGGUUCAAGGGCAAACACAGUGCUGAGAGCUGUGUGCCUGGAUCCCGCCAGCAGGUGUGCUGGGGUAGGGAAUGGAAGUCAGGCAUCUUGAUCUCCAUAUGUAUCCACCGAUGGACACCCUGCCUGCCUUUCACUGGGCUCACCCUAAAAUGGUGAACAAAGAAAACAGCUCUCACCUCUGGAGCCAACACGGAGGGGUGGGUAUGAGUGCAGAUGUGGUGGGGGUGCUGGUGGAGGCUUGCUGCCCAUCUGGCUUUUCCUGUUAUUGACAUGCUCAGAUGAAAGUGGGCCCUGUUCACAAACAUGGCAUCCAUUCCUGGGACUCAUCCCGAGCAGAACCUCAAAUAAAAACCAGAACAAACUACACUAAUUUGCUGAACCCCAAAUGGAGCCAAAUUCAAAGCUCUUACGAAACUACAAACAGAACCACAGUUUCAAAAACACCAGGAAAAUAGUCUCAACAAGACAUUACCUACAUGAAGGAUGUCUGAAAUCUAUUUUAGUGUAAAAAUGCUAUAAGUUUACUCUCCUACUUUCUAAAAUUACUGAAUUAGUUAUUAAAAUAACAACCUAAGUAAUCUGACUGUAAAUUGAGCCAUAUUUUAUUUACCCUAAGAUCUCUCAAUCAAAUGGAGAUAUAACAAGGGUUAUCAAUUUCUACUGCAUCUAUUCCUGUAACAUAUUAAAUCUCCAUCUCCUUGAGAGAAGUACAUUGAUUUUUCCACAGGAGAAUUUUUUUCUAGCUCCAAGAACAGCUGAGGGCUGCAAAACUGAGCAGAUGGCCACAUGGAAGAAUCUGCUUGGUUGAUAAGAUAGUUUAAAAGAAAAAUCACCUGACUGCACAUCCCAAAUACCUGUCAAAGUAGGUCAUGAACACUGCUUGAUUGGAACAAACCAAAAUAUUUAAUGGAUCGAAUCUUCCAGAGUUCAUGAUAACUGCCCCACCAAAGGUCUGGGCUUAAGCACUGAUGUUUCCUUUAAUUAUAAAGCCCAGAUUGUAAGGCAAACACAGCCCUGCCAGUGUGUUUGUAGGUCCAGUCAGUGACUGUGCUGCGUCCACAAUGGUCUUUAUCAUUGUCACUUGUUUGACCUGACUAUAACUGAGUAAAGCAUCAUCAUUACAAAAUGCAGCAUGCGGGAUAGUAAUCACCUAAAGAUAUGGUUCAAGCACUUCACCAACCUCUGAACCUGAAUAUGCCUAAUGAAUUUUGUAAACCUUACAAAAAGUGAAGCCAGGUGAUUAUCAGAAAAAAGACAUGUGUCAUACUAAAGAAAGAGCAUGUUCUGGACCUGAGAAAACAGCAGUGCAGAAGGGAAUGUCUUUUCUCCACAGUGAUAUGUGGCCACAGCCUUGAACAGCAAAUUUGCAGAUUAAUGAAGAUAGUAAAAUAGAUCACAUCCUCCUGCCUCCAGGUAUAAUAUUUUAUUCAUAUAAGAGCUAUGUGAGCCUUGAUUUAUAUGAACUUUCAUUAGUAGGCAAAAUUCAAUCAUAAGGUUUCCUCUUUUCACCUCUAGGCGUCCUUAAAUUCAACACACAGUCAAAUGGUGAUUGGCUUCCCCUCUCCCUAGGUAAUACCCCACCCCCCAGCCUCCCAAAAAAGACAGAAAAAGAGGAAAAUGAAAAACAAGCACGUUAGAAAGGUGGCCAGACAAAACGGUUUGCAUCAACAACAUAACUUCUGAUUUGUUCUCCCGCUGGGACAGUCUAAUGCAGCCUCAUUCAGCUGUGCAUUUUCAAUAUUAUUCAACAGAGCCCACUCAGGUCAAAGUAGAGUCUUUUCCUUCACAAGUACAGAGAUACAACACUAGGUUUACGGGAGGGCUAUUUUCAAUCUUCUUGAGCGGUAAUGUGUUUCCAUUAUGGUUCCAUCUAUUUGUGAUCUAUAAUGCUUUCCAAAUAGCCCCAAAUUUCAAAGAAGCUCUAGUUGGUUCCAAAUGGAAAUGAGAUUACAUAUUUAGUAUUAUUUUAUUCUCAAAUGUUAGAUUUAAUUAGGUUGGGAGCAUUCAUUCAUCUGCCCAUUGUGUUUGUUGACUUCAUUAAGGGACAAUCACAGAAUUGCAGGGAAGUCCACGUAGGGCCCCCCAAACUGCGAUUGCUUUUAGCUUUUAUAAACCAUUAAAAUGUAAGUCAAGCACAUAAAUAUAUCUGCUAUGAAAAGAAGUGGUAUUGCUAAGUUCCCUGAUAGAUGAUGACAGGACUUCUCAGAAUUCGAAGGCCAGUGUUUUAAUCUUCAGGUUCUCUCAGGUCACGUGCUUGCCAAUGACAUUGGACCAGGAAUCUCCAGAGGUGAGAAAGCCCCGGCCAACCCCAAAUGCAGCUCUUGCUUGGUGAAAGCAGAGAUGGGGUGAGGACAGGGACACAGGCAGAACCCUGCCGCGCUCCAGCUGAGCUGCUCACUUGCCACUCCCAGAGAAAACAGGAGGAUCGACCUUUCUCUAUGCAACGUCUAAAAUUAAUUUGGUGCUUAAAAUCAGAGGUGGGUCAAGCAGUUGAUUACCUGAGGUUGCCUUUGGACUAACAAAGGCGUCUCUUCAGCAUGGUGAAUUGCUCUGAUGGCCCUGGGCCCGGAGCAGUGAUUUGAGAAAAUCACCCAUGGCAACCAUUAGGCAAUGAGUCUCCAUUGACUGCCAAAAUCUCACUGAAUAUUGAAGGAAAAGAGAAUUUAUAUGUAAUCCAAUUCAGAGCAACAACAACAACAACAUCAACAAUUCAAUGUUCCCCAGUUCUUCAUGGGAAAACUUCAAUCCAGGUCCAAAGAGAGCUGCAAGAACAGCGCAGUUCACACAGAAAGUCUGCAUUCACAGGCUGGGCUGGGGUCGCAACUCUGCGGGCCUCCCCACCCUGCCACGCUUUGUACUGCUGUGUGAUUUUAGCGGAGGCAUUUAGCUCACACAGCCUUAGUUUCCUCAUCUGUAAAAUUGAAUAGCUACCUUCUAGGCUUUGGGAGAAUGCAAUGGAAAAAGAAUCUUGCCUAGGGCAUCAUCAGCUCAGUAAAUAAUAGUUAUUAUCAUGAUGAUUAUCCUCCAGGUAGCUGUGAUGUGUAGAAGCCCAGAACCAAGUAGCACAGGAGACAGAGGUAGUUAAUUCAACCCUCCUCCAAUACAACUGAGUGCCCUAAUUAUCCGAAUAGAAGCUCCACUGCAGGAAAACUCUGUUUUGGAGCUCAAGGAAAGACCUACAAGGGAGAACCACAGAGCUGUAAUUAUCAGCUGAAAGAGGAAGGAAGUUCUAAUCUCACAGAGCCCUUGGAGACUUGUGAACACCCGAAGCUUGGAGAAGGCUUCAACAGGGAACAAACGGUGAAAGCCACACAAAAAUGAACUUAGCAGCAGGAAGGAGUACUCCACGUGCCCCUGCACCUCUCACCAAAGGGAUACAGAUAUGUGAUGGGUGUUUCUGUAAUAUAUGCCUCAUUUUCCAAUGGAAAACCUCCAUAUACACAUGAGUGCAUGGAGAGGUCAUAGUCACUGGUCAAGGAGUUAGAGAUGAGUGGGGAAAAGUGAUAGGGUGAGCAUCCUCAAUCUGGCCCCACCCUAUCUGGCGCCAGACACCUAAUGAACCACCUUUACUGGGGGAGACAGGGUCAAGGAUGAAGCAAUUUCCUCUUCAUAUCUAGCUAUCAUUUAUUCUACAUAGUUGAUGCAGGCAAUAUGCUGGCUGUUUGAAGCAGGUGAUAUUUCUAAUCCACACAAUGGCCUGAAAGGUAAGUAUUAUGGAAUCACUUAUCUGGAUAAAUAAAACAUGAGGUUCAGAGAGAUUACGUAACUGGCCUAGAUCAAUAGGUGGGUAGGCAGACAGGUAGGCAGGUAGAUAGAUAUAGAGAUUGAAAUAUACUUUAAAAACACUCUGUUUGCCCUACAUUCCUUGCUUUAGAUAGGAUUCUGAAUGUGGGGCGGGCAGGAAAGCUGUCAGUCACGAAGGGAGCCUGCCCACCACAAGGCGAGUCAUGUGACCCAGGCCAGAGAAUCAGGUUACCCCACAGGGAACAUCAGUGAUUGGCCCAGGGGUAAGCAGGUAGCUCAUGUAGCACCAGAGUCAUAUUUUUGAAGUUUUUAUGGAAGUUGGAAAGAUCUCUUUUGGAAAUUACCAACUCCAGAGAGGAUGUUAGCCUGGGAGUGCCAGGAACUUUCUGUGUCACUGGGGAAAGCGAGACUUGAUUCUCCGGAUAUCAUUGACCAUCUGGGUCCUGUGGUGCCUGACGCUAUGAGUUCUCAAAGUGGGGCCCCCAAAGCAGCAGCAGCAGCCUCAUGGCCUUGCUGGAAAUGCGAAUUCUCAACCUCAGCUCCCAGACUCACUGCAUUACAAACUCUGGAAGAUGGAGCUGACUCAGUGAGAUCUCUUUCCAAGCUCUCUAGAUGGGCCUGAUGCUUAUUUUGAAAAGCACUGUUCUAGGUCAAUCCAGGGAACUGUUAAACUUCAUGAGCCAAUAGAUACCCCUCUUCUUGCCUAAACUUUGAUUAUAAUAAAAGAAAAAUACAGCAAGAUAGUUUUGAGGGUUUUUUAAUAAAAAUUUACAAUUAUUUUUUAAUCGCAAGUAAACUUAAUUAUUUUACCAUUAAAACCUCUUCAACACAGAAAUUCCUUUGAGGUUUUUAGUUUUGUUCUGUGUUUGUUUGUAUGUGAGGCAAGACACCCCUGGAUGCUUGCAAAGAAGAGGCAAUUUGAAGUGAAACAGGCAGAUGUACAAUCUGAUCCCAUAAGUGACCCACUGCAGAACAGACAGCUGGACAUAUGGACAUAUGCAGCUGCCUGUCAUUUAUACACGAGAGUUAAACAGUUGGCAAAGAGAGUCUGGGCCACAGAGUGGUGAGCUGGCUAGAGGUGCGGAUCUAGCCAUUGGAUAACACUGUACUUAAAACACAAAACUCUAUCCAAGAAGAGGAAAUGAUUGAAUACGAAGUAUUUGAAAAAAGAUUUGAAAGACUGAAAAUGAAACACUUCCUUACAUUCGCUAAGUGAGCUGAGAAAGAAUUGCCCAGAAGGGUGAUACGGAGGGCUAGAGAAUGAAGACGACAGGGAGUGGAAGGAGAGAGCCCACCUACAUGGCACCCAGCUUUGCAGAGGCUCCUGAAGACACAAGGUUGAAGGCCCUGGACUCAAAAAUUUCCUUGACUCUGCCAGGCAAGAGGGUUAGCUGUUUCAGCAGAGGGUAGAGCCAAGCGAAAGCUGGAGAGUGAAUAAGAAAUGCUAGGAGCAAUUGCGUCAGGUGGGGCAACCAGGACUGUGUUUGCCUUCGGACCAGGGCUGCCGAGUACAGAUAGCAGGUGGUUUAUGUGAGGCCUGGAGCAGGGGUCAUUGCAGGAGACGGGGUUGCUGUGUGCCUAUAAAUGGAGUGAAAAAGGUCACUCAUCUAUUCAUCCAACAAAUAUUCAACAAGCACCUGUUACAUACCAGAUUAUUACAUACAUGUGGCAGUGCACGUAACUGUGAAGCUGUGUACUACAGCUGCAGGGCGAGGACUGGGGCUUUAGCUCCCACCUUGUGCAAUGUGGGAUCUUCUCCAUCGUCAUAUCAAGCCACCCCACGUGUAUUUAAUGUAAGUUGGAACACUGUGCUUGCUACAAAAGUCAGCUUCAGAAGAAGCCCCUCCGUGGAUCACCACCUCCCUACAAGCUGCAGUCCUAAUCUCCUAUGUCAAAAUCAGGGACUGCUGCUGCCCCGGGGGGUUUAGAGAUGAAGACCCAGACUCUGACUGAGGAGUCUCCCAGUGAAAGGAAGGAGGCAGAAGCCCAGUCACCAGUGACGCCACCCAGCUGAGUGGACCGCGCAGAGGGAGGCGGACGCAGGGCACUCCAACAUGGACCUGAGAGGCACACACUGCAAUGCAAAUCCUCCACGAUAGUCCACAGGAUGUACUGGGAGAAACUGGAAGGCCACAGGAGAAACGUUUGCUCACGAAAACACAGGCAUUUCAUGUGCCUGGAGCACGGGAUGAAGAAUUCCUUAGACUUUGAGUGCCAAGCUAGUGCUUGGACUUUCUUCUAAAGGUCAUGGGUGAGCCCUUGGGGAAUGUGGAGACCACUCCGGCCUGCGAUGGAGAAGGAAAUUGUGCCAGAAGCUGGGAAGUCAAAGUUAACCCUCCAGGCUAGAUCUAGGGAAAGACUUGUCAGCUGUUUCUUCACUUCCAUGACCUUGGAAAAUCCGCUGUCUCCACCAGACACUGAUCCUUGGCACAGCCACUAUUUGAUACACUUAACUCUGCUCAGGAUUUUAGAUCUCAACCCAGGAAAUGAGCUACAGUCUCACCCCAGUGCUUGAAAUAGGUGUGCAAACAAUUCACAUAUUAUAAAUACGUUGACUUGGGCCGGGUGUGGUGGCUCACGCCUGUAAUCCCAGCACUUUAGGAGGCUGAGGCAGGAGGAUUACUUGAGGUCAGGAGUUCCAGACAAGCCUGGCCAACAUUGCAAAACCCUCUCUCUACUAAAGUACAAAAAUUAGCCGGGCAAGGUGGUCCGUGCCUGUAAUCUCAGCUACUCAGGAGGCUGAGGCAGGAGAAUCGCUUAAACCCAGGAGAUGGAAGUUGCAAUGAGGCGAGAUCACAACAACCCACUCCAGCCUGGGCGACAGAGCAAGACCCUGUCUCAAAUAAAUAACUAAAAUGAAAAUAAAUAAAUUGAUUUGUUUUCAUUCAUAUAUUUUGGGGAUACAAUGGAGCUUAAAGUUUGAAAACCAAAACGGAGCUGGCCACCAAAGGUGUGGAUUUGGUCAACAGGGUGUGGACUCCAGCAGCCCGUGUCACUCUCAGACUCCAUGUCUCAAUUUGAAUGUUUCCAUGUCACUUAAAAAGUAGAAUAUUCAUAGUGAUGUUGAAGAUACAAAAGAUAUACCAGGAUUAAUUUUCUAGUCAAUUUUAUGUGUCUGUGACCCAAGACAAUAAAAGUUAAGUCAUCGUUAGUUCCUUAGUUGCUGGACACUUUAGCCCAAUAUACCACCUUCAAUUUUGAAUUAUUAUUUGGACUGUGUUCAUGAGAUUCUUGGAGUAUGUUAAAUCAACACAUUUCUUUGUAAUUAUUGAGAACCUUUUGUUCCCUAUAAAAUCAAGUGUACGAUGAUGUAAACUAUAAAACGCAAAUUGUAGGGACAAUUGGUAAUCUGCAGUGAAAAUAAAGUCAAAAUAGCAAAGAGCAGAUUAUUCUCAAAUUUAUGUAACAGAGUUCUUACAUGUGGAAGUGGAUACAAGUAUUAGCACAUUCAGUUGAUGUACUGAAAAUAAAAUGAAACUAUUUUUCUACUUACUACUUGCUUGUGAAAUCCAAAGGGGUGAAUAAGAGCCAGGAUUCAUUGUCAUGAGUGUAGGGGUGCCCUGGGAAGGAGGCCUCCAUCCCACGUGUCAGUGGCGUCAUCAGAAAUUCCAUGAUCGUCGGCUUAUUCUUUGCACACGUGUCUACAGGGUCCCUCCGCACACCGACUUGGUGUCCUCCAGGAUGCAGAAAACCCAAAUUAAACUAGUUUAAUGAAUAAGGAAACUAAGUGGCUCUUAGGACCAUAAGCCCUGCGGUGACGCCUGCUUCAGGGCUGGAGGAGCUAAGUGUUCUCUGGUUCACCAAAGCCCCCAGUUCUUUCCGUCUGUCACUCAUAGCUUCGGCUUCGUCCCCGGCUCACUGCCAGUGGUAAUCAGGCUGCCCAAGAACUUCUGAAAUCCACAGCCCGGUGUUUCCAAACGAAUUAUCAGUAGGGUUGGAAUCCCUUCUCCCCAGCCCCAGCCCCAGCAAGGCCCUCCAACGCCACUGCAGUUCCCUGGAUAGCAGGAAGAGGCCUGAGCCGGCUCUCCCGGAGCUCCAGGUGCAGAGUCUCCCCACAUGGGAGUCAGUGUUCUCAGAGCAGCAUUUGUUGACCUGAGCUAACCAAGUUCUCUAACUGAAAGCCUGGCUGUGUAAAGCCACAGAUGUCUGGCAUUAGAAUAGCUCAAGGACAGGAGAAAAAACUGACAAUCAGUCCAGAACGGCAUCCCAGGACUUCUGCUCUGAGGAGAAAACAGGACUAAACCCCAGCUGAGGUCUAUUUCCAACUCCAAGAUUCUGCAAUGUUAUCUCUGUUUAAAAAGAUAUCCCACUUUUUGAUGACAGUGUGUCUGGAAUUGGUGGGUUCUUGGUCUCACUGACUUCAAGAAUGCAGCUGCGGACCCUGGCGGUGAGUGUUACAGCUCUUAAAGGCGGCAUGUCCGGAGUUUGUUCCUUCUAGGUGGGUUCCUGGUCUCUCUGGCUCAGGAGUGAAGCUGCAGACCUUAGCGGUAAGCUGUUACAGCUCUUAAGUCAGCGCGUCUGGAGUCGUUCGCUCCUCCCGGUGGGUUCGUGGUCUCGCUAGCCUCAGGAGUGCAGCUGCAGACCUUCGUGGUGACUGCUACAGCUCAUAAAAGCAGUGUGGACCCAAAGACUGAGCAGUAGCAAGAUUUAUUGCAAAAGACGAAUGAACAAAGCUUCCACACGACAGACACAAACCCUAACAGAUUGCCACCGCUAGCUCGGAGAGCCUGCUUUUCUUCCCUUAUCUGGCUCCACCCACAUCCUGCUGAUUGGCCCAUUUUACAGAGAGCUGAUUGGUCUGUUUUACAGAGAGCUGAUUGGUCUGUUUUGACAGGGUGCUGAUUGGUGCGUUUACAAUCCUGAGCUAGACACAAAGGUUCUCCAAGUCCCCACCAGAUUAGCUAGACACAGGGUGCUGAUUGGUGCAUUUACAAACCUUGAGCUAGAUACAGAGUGCUGAUUGGUGUAUUCACAAUCCCUUAGCUAGACAUAAAUGUUCUCCAAGUCCCCACCAGAUCAGCUAGACACAGAGUGCUGAUUGGUGCAUUUACAAACCUUGAGCUAGAUACAGAGUGCUGAUUGGUGUAUUUACAAUCCCUUAGCUAGACAUAAAGAUUCUCCAAGUCCCCACCAGACUCA
rnacentral:lncRNA from 1 species